GGUUACUGCUAUCGAGGUUCGACUAAGCCAUGCGAGUCGAAUGUAGCAAUACAUGGCGAACUGCUCAGUAACACGUGGACAACCUGCCCUUAGGUUGGGUAUAAACCCGGGAAACUGGGUAUAAUACCCGAUAGGUCUCGAUUGCUGGAAUGCAUCGAGAUUUAAAGCUCCGGCGCCUAAGGAUGGGUCUGCGGCCUAUCAGGUAGUAGUGGGUGUAGCGUACCUACUAGCCUACGACGGGUACGGGUUGUGAGAGCAAGAGCCCGGAGAUGGAUUCUGAGACACGAAUCCAGGCCCUACGGGGUGCAGCAGGCGCGAAAACUUUACAAUGCUGGCAACAGCGAUAAGGGAACCUCGAGUGCCAGGUUACAAAUCUGGCUGUCGAGAUGCCUAAAAAGCAUUUCAUAGCAAGGGCCGGGCAAGACCGGUGCCAGCCGCCGCGGUAACACCGGCGGCUCGAGUGGUAACCGUUAUUAUUGGGUCUAAAGGGUCUGUAGCCGGCCGGAUAAGUCUCUUGAGAAAUCUGGCAGCUUAACUGUCAGGCUUUCAGGAGAUACUGUCUGGCUCGAGGCCGGGAGAGGUGAGAGGUACUUCAGGGGUAGGGGUGAAAUCUUGUAAUCCUUGAAGGACCACCAGUGGCGAAAGCGUCUCACCAGAACGGACCUGACGGCAAGGGACGAAAGCUAGGGGCACGAACCGGAUUAGA
rnacentral:rRNA from 1 species